rnacentral:misc_RNA from 1 species
UAAGAUACAAGCAGUAAAGAAUAAACUCUUGACAGAUUGAACAUAACUUAUCUUUGGAAUCUUUAAUCUACCAUUUAAUUUAAAAUAUUUUUUAAAUUAAAAUGUUCAGUUUUGAAUCGUUGAGUUUUGGUAUUUUAAUUAAAAUUCGAUUACAUUCUUCCCCUCUUUCCCUUAGAAGUUCUGUAGUCAUUAAAAUAUUUAAAUAAGAUUUUCUAUGCAAAAUUUUAAUGAUUUUGAUCAAAUUUGUUCUUAAAACCUUAAAAAAACAAUGUUUCAAAUCUCUUUUACUGCAUUUACGGGAAAGCUACCUGAUAUACAAUUAGAAAUAUUUUCUAAUAGGAAUCGUUCCUGUAAAAUUACGUAAAAUAACGUUUGACAGAAUUCGAGAAAUUGACAUCGGUGUGUCUAUGUCAAUGAGUUUCGAUCGUUUAUACUGAAACAUCACACAGCGGCUUCGGAACACAUCCCGUGAAGAAGAGCGGUGGAAGCAAGGCGGGACAGGCAGGAGCGUAAACAAGGGGAAUGCAUCGCGGGGGUGGCACGACGAGGUACGAGGGCGAGGGGUUAUACUCGUCGCUCAUGCGCGCCUGGAACCCCGCCCUGUCGCUUCGGACCACGGCCUGUCCUGUCGAGGACUCCUCGCCGAGGUGGUCGAAUAGUCACGCUUUGACCCGCGAUCCGCGAGGCGGACGGCACUCGCCAGGAACGCCGCUGGUGCUCGUACGCGAGAGGGAGGAGGAGGUGGUGGAGGAGGAGGCGGAGGAGGAAGAGGAAGAGGAGAAGGAGGAGACCCCGUGAACAUCUGUCCUGGUCCCUCAGUCCGUCGUACCUCUAUCGCGAUACGGUUCUCCCCCCGCGAGAUCGCAGGAUCAACAAGAUCAACCGUGAUCUGAUCGUGGCGGCCGGUGUGUAUGUGUGUGUGUGUAUGUGUGGGUAGGUGUGUGUGCGUGUUGUGUGCUCCAUGUACCCAGGAAGGAUCGACGACGGCGGAUCGAUCGUCGGGUAUACGCGACGGGGAGUCACGCGUGCGACGGGAAUUUCGAGAUCGGGGCGCGAAUCCGAUACCGAUGCCAAGUAUUCGCUGCGUGGCAACUAGUUGCGGAUGCGAGCUGGUGUUAAACGGGAGCCGCCGUUAAGUGUUACCGCCGAAUGGUCCGUCGGAAGCCAGGUAGGACGACGACGACGACGGGUAGAUCGCGUCGAGGUGCCAUCAGGAUUCACUCGCACGGGUUUUAAAUCGCCAAGAGUGGCACCCUACUGCACUUCCGCUGGAGACAGACACCUCGGUGAAUCGAUCUGGAGCGCGUGGCACAGAUCGUCAAUUAUCGCGACCGUUGUUGAUUGCGAAUGUCUGGCGACAGCGCAGCGGCUUAACAUCUCGGAUGAAAAGCACCUUUAAUUAGCGAGGAAAAAGUUGACAAUUUGUGGCUUCCUCUAGCAUAAUUUACGAUCAAUCCUAAAGCUGGCGAGCAACCGGUAGGAGCGUAGGGGACAGGAGAAAUAGUCACGGCGACCUGCUGCUUGUCAUAUAAGUUUAACAUACGCGAUAUCGAUAUCCUUUGACUCGAUAUCCGUCGUUCAAAUAUCACAACGUGCGCCUUACCAAUUACCAAAACAAACAAACAAACAAACAAACAAACAAAAUAGAAAACGAACGAUAGGCCUAACUUGGGAUCAAACAGAUUAACAAUUUCGAAAAAUAGCACGCGAUUUUUGUAACGCGUGAGAAGAUCGCCAGCUUUCACGAAGAUUUUUCAUAUACGUGCGCGCAUUAUCGAAAUGCAUGAUUUCCUGCAAAACGGCAGCGGCUGAAAGGUCGCGAUCGAUCGGCUCAAUUUGAUAACCCAAAGGAACCUUAAAGCGUGCAAGGUCGUUAUAUAUAUAGCGAUAAGGUAGGGACUUUCCGUGGCUGAAAAAUCGAGGAGGAAAGAGUCGAGAAAGGUGCUCGCGCGGCGAAGGAGAGUCGCCUAGUAGUACAUGGCCUACCUACACGCGAUGCCGAGAUUUACAAGCAUCCAUUACUCGAGCAAGCGUCGAACCUGAGAGAGGACCUCCAGACGCAACGAUAAUCGAAUUCAUCGAGUCCCGUUCGCGUGAUGCCCGUGCCAAGGCCGUCGCGAGAAGGCAUGCUUGAGCCUUUGCGAAGCAAAAGCGCGCAGCGUCGAUUGCAAGAUCUUGCUUCAUGUUGCUCCUCGAGAUUUCGGCAGGAUAUUCGCAACGAUAGAGCAUUCGUCGGUAAUGAUACAAUAACGCGAGAUUAUCGUCGAUUCGAGAAUCUCGAGUAACUGCAGGCAGCUGCAGCACAAAUUCGCACGCAAAUUGUAUCCUGAUUUUCUUUUGUAUCGAAGAACUCAAGUCGUUCGAUGAAAUCCCCGUCGGUCUACACGACGAAGCUCCCUGACGACAUCGAAUUUCGAGACGCAAACGAGUUAGUAAACGGCCUCGCUCAAUGCUUCCUAGCAAAAGGAACUUUCCUAGGAAUCAAGUUCACUUGAUCCCCGAUGCCCCGCCGGAGCCGUCCACGAGGAAACCGAUGAUCGAUGCGUGUCUAUUCGACAGUUGAUCCCGGAGGAUCAGAAACCUCUUCUCUCCCCAGAAUCGCCUCUAACGAACGAAGCGAUGAUCGGCCUGUAGAUCGGCGCGCUCGAUGAACCGAGCGUCGAGCAGCAGCCAACACCACCCGAAGAAGAAGAAGAAGAAGCCGUAGAAGAAACUUAAUCGCGUAGCGUCGUCUCGAUUUCUCGAGAGAGCCGUCCCGGGUAAUGCGCGGAAGCAGCUCCGAGCUCCUGCUGGAGGCGAGCUGCAGCCAGUGCCAGAGCGAAUACGAACGGGGACAGGGUCGGGACAGCGACGAGCACGACUUCCACGAACGGGAGCUACGUCGUCGCAAACUGUUGGAGCUCGGGUUCGGCGCGUCGCGGCGCCGACCGCCACGGCGUACCUGCCGUCAGCGGUUUAACUUCUACGCGACAUCGGCGCUGGCCUUCGUCGCCACCUCAGGCGGCGCGGCGCUCCUCUUUCUGGUCCCGCUCUACGUCGACCCGGCCAUCAGCACCCUAGCGGCGGACUUCUCGCCGGAGCCGGUUGUAUGCACGACCUCGCGGCGCGAGGACCGCGCCGGUCUCUUCAACUGCACAUGGAGCUCGUGCCGCGAGGGAUGCACCAGUGACGUGUACAGCUGUACCCACAUAUACGUCACGUACACGCCGUGGAGUAACGCCAGUAUGAAGAACGACACCGGCGGCAGGAACACCACCGCGAACACCACCACGGCUGAUCUGGGUACCGUCACUGCCGUGUCCUCUCCGGGGGACGUCGAGGCGGUGCUGUUGGUGAACAUCAAGGGCUGCGGAUAUCCGCCGGUGGUCGACUGUAAGAACUUCACCCGCGAGUUGGGUUACGAGGGCGCCAGAUUCCCCUGCCACUACAGCCGGGUGAACGGUAGCAUAGUGUUGGCAAACUAUAAUCGCGAGGCACAGGUCGCUAUCAUCAUGCACUUCUUCGCGGCGCCUUUCGUAGUGACUCUCGCGACCAGCGUCGCGCUGUGUGUGAUGCACUGUGACUGCAGGUGCUCGCCGCCACCGCGACACCCGCCGCGCGGCAUGAGAAGAUCCAGGGCCAACGACCUCAGCUGCUGCAUGAGUAUAAAAAAUCGAUAACUGGUUAGAAGCGUGCCAGAAGUCGUCCGAUUUAGAAGGUGUAUUUGACGAGGCAAAUAAACUUUCUAAACUAUACGUAAGACAAAGACGACUUAACAAUGAUGUUACUACCACCGUACUUACUGUCGUCGUGAAACGAUGCUAAACUCUUUCGGCUGCAAAUACUGCCUUAGAAGAAAAGAGUGAAUCGCAGAAACGGAAAUCGGAUAUCGAUUCAUCACAUCUCUCUCUUGUAAUCUCCGCUAAUUAGCAUCCAAAAGGCGCAUUCAUCUCAUUAACGAAACGAGUGCGCUGCCGAAAGCCGUGACUGCGCUCUCCGUGCAACGCAAUGAACGUGUAAAAAGAGAUCUCUAGUUAUCGAUCGGAUGCCGUAAGUAACUCCGUGCAUUCGGAGUAAUUGACAGCUCUCUCUCUCACGAACGUUGAUAUGUUGCGUGAACAAGCAUAGAGCAGCGCGUAACUCGCGUAACUCGCGUAAUCUAUCAUUCUUCCGAAUGUCUCUUUUCCUCUCCCAUUAAUUUUUCUUCUUAAUUGAGUCGUUGAGCGAACCGUAGUAAUAUAUAUCACGUAAGUCACAUUUUUCUCAUUAAAGUAAGAGGUUUUAUAAAAGUGCCUCCUAUAAAAUCCUGUUAAUGUAUUAUAGCAAUUUUUCUAGAUCAACACAUGACUGUCUAAAGUACUUGAACGGAAUAUCCUAACAAAACCACUUGAAAUAAAAAUACCGGAAGUUUUCAAGUCACGUCAGACUUAUCAACUACCAUACCGUCUAAAUUAUACAACUUGCAAUCGUUGACUUACCGUGCUUAUAGAUACUAUUUCGCUCAACCGCUGAAUUUCCGCUAUCGCAUGCCCUCUCCGCACAGAUAAACGCUAUACCAAGAGAAAUAAAAGGGACCAGAAAUAAAAGAAAUUGUUGAAUCAUGAAAUCACAUGUCAAGAAGCUAGUGCUAAUAAACAGCCCGCAGGGCAGCAAGAAUAAAAAAAAAAAAGAAUUGUAGUGUUUUAUUUCUACAAUAUACUCUCUAAUACCUCGUCGCAUACGCCGAAGAAAACCGCUGGAAAUGGACUUGUCGAGUUCCGUGCCAUGGCUCUACGUGAGUGAAAUAUUAAUUCACGUUCAAGUGACGGCAAAUGCAAGAAGUAGACUGUGCGAUUGAAAUCAAAAACUCCAGGCGAGGUUUUUCUGCUGUUUUUGAGCAUUGCGAUUCAACGUGACGCGCCUUGAGGGCUCAUUUCCUCUUCGAAAAUCACCUUGUUAUCUUUCUACUUUCGACCGUUUGUCAUUUCUACGACGAGAGUAUUAGAAGACGGGGACUCGGGGGUGGCGAGGAUGACAGCUAGCAAAUGGCAGCCUCGGCUGUCAUACAUCAGAUUUGGAUUAACUGGCGACCCUGGCCGUGUUGCCUCUUUGUCUCUUGUUUCUCUCUCUCUCUCUCUUUCUCUCUCUCUCUCUCUCCUUCUCUCUCUUUGUCUCUCUCUCUGCUUUUUCUCUUUAUAUCUCUUCUUUUCCACUUUUCUUCGCAAAGUUGUUUGCUACUGAACGUACCGCGUGUGUUUCUACCGCAAAUGGUAUUUUCGUUGUUUCAGGAUUUUUCUUUUAUCUCGCCAGACCACGAGAGUUGUCGCACAAAUCGUUGUAAUCCGUACUAACGUAAUUAUGUUUGCCCGAACUUCCGAGAUUAUCCGGGUAAUCGCGUUCUACCUGAAUGAAACUGGCAUAUAUCAUUUCUCGCAGUUGACGCUUAGAUAUUUCUACUUUCAGUGAAACUGUCGCCGUCGAUCCUCGUUUUAAGUAGUACAAGUAAAGAUACAAAUCGUCGUAGAAUUUAUGUAAAGGUUAUACAGAUAAUAGAGAAAAAAGAAAAGAUAGUGCGAAAUAAAAAAUGUUGUUAUGAGAAACAUAGAGUCAAGUCAUAUAGUAUUCCUGCAUUCCACGGAAUUUUUACGCGACCACCUGAAAGCGAUCCAUUAAAUCAACCAUUUUGCAUGUCACGCUGUUUGAUCUCAGUUCAACGAUACCCUCGAAAUUUGUCGUGUGACAGAGGAAAGACGCGAUACACGAUACUGUUGUCGUGUCACUGUUCCUGGAGAUCAUGUUUCAUAUCAAAGGAGAGCAAAGAUAAAGUACAUCGAAUUCUGUUAUCGUAUCCUUCUUCCUCAGAAUUUUCCACGGGACAGAACGGAUAAGCCGACCGUGCUAUGAAAUACGAGAAAUUCCUCUCAAACGCGGAAAAUUCAUCUCUGAUACACAUCCGCGUGCUAACAUCGUCGUGCUAACGAUUACGGCAAACUUUUCGCUUGGACAACUUCUCUCGGUGUAUAAAUUAUACGAAAUAAAUAGACUUGUAAACGCGAUAAGGAACACUUCCAUUUGCGGCUUUCAUAAGGAGAGCGAAAGAAAAUCAAAGAGUUAAAUCUCUCUCUCUCUCUCUCUCUCUCUUUCUCUUUCUUUCUCUCGAAUUUGUAUUUUGUGAAAAGUACAUCUUGCGAAAUAAUAGAUACUUUGGUAAUUCGUUUUUCUCCGAGAAUCGAGCUUUCGGAAAGAAAUAAGGGAAAAAAUAGUGUACUUAGACGUACUCGUUAACUUACGACCAAGAUGGCAUCAUACGUAAGCGGAUGAAAGGGUUAAAGGAGAAUCCUCUCGAACUUUUAAUUGAAACAGCGCUUUGAAGGAGCCAUAGCUUCGCGUGUCAACACGCGAAUAAGAGAAUGGUCUCGAGAACUACAUUUUACGACGUGGCUGAAGUCUCCGCGGCUAUUAGCGCGAGGAUGAAUGGGAUUUUAAACUGGCGCAUCGGAGGUGGCCCCUUUAAACAUGCCGAGGACAGUUAAGUCGGGAAGAAUGUCGCGCGCAAAAGUUACCGUCAUUUGUAUCUUUCGUUAUUCAAUGACAUUCAUGACUGGUCCCCUCCCCACAGUUGGAGCCCGGCCAAAAACUUGCAAAAGAAUAUACUCUUUUGCUCCCUCGCGGGUUAAUUUAUAAGUAAUCUCCAUUUAUCCAGCGGCUUCCUGGCAAAUUGUAGUCAAAAACAUUUUUACAUAAAAUUAUUAUUCAAAAUACAAUGUCAAAAAAUUGUUACUUCUUAUUUUUAGAUUUAUGCAGAAACGAUCAUUCAGCUGAAGCAUCCGUACUGUGACAAUGACAAGUGAUGUAAUCGAUAGAAGUAUUUGUUACAUUUAUUAAAAGUUCUAACGGAACAGAAAACUGAUUACUUUUACGGAUUUCCAAUCAUACACCAUAUAAUGCUAAACUCUUAACGAGUGAUAGUAUUUUUCGUACAUUUUACACGUAAAAUGUAAAUAAUACAUUUAACAAAGUGAGGCAUUAAAGCACAUUAGUUGUUUCACGUUUCCUUUGUUCCGCGAUACUUAUAAUUGGACUGACAUUUACGCCAAUUAGCCUGAAAAGUUAUAGCUUUAUUCUUAUUCUGAUUAAUCACGUCCCGUAACGGCACGCCCAACGGAUAUGGGAAGAAUAAACGUUGGAAUUUCCAAUUAUGCGCGCACUGCAUGGCUCCUACCGGCGCGCGGUUAAUUUGACGUUUGAGCAAUGCCGCCCCGUACGCUCCGGACGUAUGAAGCUACAGCUGCUUCAUUUCGCAAAUCGCUCGCGACGGCGGGGGCGAAAAAAAAAUUGGCAGUGAUCGAGAGAGGGAUAAAUAAAUAGGGUAGAUCAUUCAUUCUGUCUCGCGCAUAAACACCCACACGCACACGCACACACACACACACACACGCAAUGCAGCUGCCUGCAAUUGAAUUUGCCCUGCAUUCCUCGGUGGAGAGAGUAGCGCGUGCUGUGCUGCUGUAGCUUUACAAUCCCAUUAAAUAUUUAUUUAAUUUGAAACGCUGGCACGAUUGUUUACGAUCCUCGUAUACGCAUCGUUACUUCGUAUCGCAUCUACGUUGUCACGGACGCUAGCGUGUCUAAACGGAUGACUCAUAAUCGACGGCAGCAUCGAAAAACGUUUUAUCGCGUGCGGGAGAAGAAACGCAGGCAGAAAAAUGUAAUCUGUCUUUUACAAAAAUCGACCGCGAUUUAAUCUAGUUAUAAUUUAAGUCGUAAGGAUGGAGAGAGAGAGAGAGAGAAAGAGAGAGAAAAUGCACUUUUAUCUCGCGCAUUCAUCAGGAGCGUAAAGCGUUUUUUUUUUUUUUUUGCGAGAUCGUAUUUCGUUGAUUUCUCGUACGUGAUAUAUCACAAUUUUAUUGUAUCCAUCUAUCUUUUGAUAUAAACCCGCGCAAAAGUUUUAUUUACGGACUUAUUAAUUUUUUUCCUUAUAAAUGCGUCACUCCGCUGCCUUGCUUAUGUCAAAUAAUUACCGCGCGCUUCGUAAUUCGUCGGAUUAUCGCGAUUGGUUAUAAACGCGUAAUUCGCAUGUUAAACCGCACAUGGGUACGCACGAUUUUACAGCCGAUGUACGAUCAGACGGAGGCUUAAGGGCGGCCCAGCUUCACCGAAGCGCACGCAAAAUACAGUUGCAAUACCGGAUGCUUAAUUGCUUCGUGUUGCACACGGCGUAUAACUGCCUCCGCCUCCAACGCGGAGGCGUUUGCGGUAACGGCGAUACAUCGAAGGAAGAUUAACUCCACGGAGCUUAACCUGCAACGGGUUUAAUCUGACGGAGAAGGAUAACGGAAACCUAAAAGGGGAUAUUAAUUGUGAGAAAACCGGCAUUUCCGAUGCCCCUAGAAUUUCCCGAAAUUUAACGCUCUUUCAGAAUAGUAUUCUCUGACAGUUAACCGCUAUUUUAAGGUAUAACAGAUCCGAUGACUAAGGAUUAAAUAAACUUUAAUUACAAAACAAAUGUGAGGAGAGUGAUUAAAAUGAUCUAUCCUCUUAGGUAUUCCGAGGGAAAAGACAAGAUCUCUGAACGGGGGCAGAAAUUUGAGACAUCGCGGUAUGAGAAAUUCUCGAAUUACAUGUAAGAAGAAAUACAAAUGAAUACAAAUUCAUUUAAGAUCGAAAUGCAACGUAAAAUUUGGUAGACCAAUUUACCAAAUAAUUCUGUUUCGUUAGGAUAAACGUAACGAAAUAUUACGUGUUUCUAUGCUCAACGCUCUUUGUUGUCUGAACUAAUAUUUUGUUUCUCAACAUACCGAGUGCCUUCUCUCGCGCGAGGCGAAACUUCCGGAAGGAGGAAUUGCACGUGCGAUUACUGCCACGGUCCCUUACAUUUCCCACCCGUCGCUUUUACAAUGGACCCAUUCGGCAUUUCCGCCAUUACUACCGCUAUUUAUUCAAUCUUGCUACCGCCCGUGCUCGACCGUUUAUUCCCAUCUCGCGAAAUUACGGUUUCGAUCAAACUAAAUCAGUUCACGAUGCACGCCGAGGUCGCGCCAUUACCACGCACACACACAGGUAUCGUCUUUUACACGCCACAUGAUCUUACGGUAUCGCACACAUCCACUGUUGCAGCUACGUAGCAGCGGCAGGCGCCACUGUUCGAUACGAUCGGCGUAGAAGUGGUUAUCUAGCUCGCCAUUAGGCACGAUUGUAGUUUAAUUGCUUUUGACGUACGUUCCGGCCACUCCAGUCAUUUUAAAAGUAGAGUCUCGAAUCUCGUGGAAUCUCCGCGGCUUAACGGAAAUCACGAGAAAUAUUAUCGAAGGCUUUUAUGGGAUUUCGCGCUUUUAAUUAUGAUUAAAAGAGUGAACUCUAACGGAGAGCAGAAGUUGAAGGUGGAAGUUGAAGUAAGAUUAAUGUCGUGAAAGUGAAGAGCGAACUCGAAAAUAUUUUUACGACCGUUCCGAGAAUAAUCGUCUUUCAUAAGUUUCGGUAAUUAAAGUAGAGUCGAGUCGCAUCAUUUAUCGCAACAUUUAUUUGAACACAAGUAACUUGAGCGGAAUCGCGAAAAGUUCCGCGGGAAUAUCGCGCACCUUUGUGACCAGAGAGCGAAGGUUAAGAGGGAAUUUUUAGAAAUUCAUAACUUAGCAGCUCGGAAAAAUUAUCCAUUGAAAUUUGCUCGGUUUCCUCAGAUAUAUGAAACGGUGCCAACGUUGUUGUUGUUGUUGUUGUUUACCGUUUCGCGAUGUCGCGCUGAAAGUUUGCUGCUGUCCGCCACACGACAAGGAAAAGUCGCCGUGCUAGAAACAAUAUGAGGAGCGGAAUGCAGGCCACAUGGCGCGUCUCUUUGGAGUGCAUUUCAUGUGUGCCUUCGUUCGUGAAACGUUCGUGGAACGAGUUUGCCUUUUCGCGUAAAGAGUUCUCGAUUAUUCGCACUUCAACUAUUUAUCGAUAGUCAUAGAGAUUUCGUCCAAAAUCAAAGUCAAUUAGAAAUACGUGAGCUUGGAUGCGCUGGACGCGACAACAAUGCAAUCGAUAACGCGAAUUUCUGGCAACAUAAUUAAAAUCGAUAGUAAUUUGAUUGGGCAACGAGAUCAUACGUAACAUAUAAUAAUUACUGAUGGCGUAUUCUGUAAAUACCGCUGUCUCCAUUUAAACCGUAAUUAUUUAUCGGCGCUGUUGACAUUAAUUACCAACAUCUCUAUGAAGCGCUAUCAUAUCAAACAGCUUCGAUUUCAAUCGAAGUUGUUUUAAUUCAUUACAUUCCUUUCGUCUAAUCUCUCGUCAUCAAUUUUAUAAAUAUACGAAUACCAUGACAGUGCAAGCUGUAUAUAUAUAUAUAUAUAUAUAUAUAUGACUGCGAAUAACAUUUGGAACGUGCUCGAAAAUCCGGAAACGGAAUUUUAGAGAAGGAACCUUUGAAUUCGAGUACCGUUGAGACUCUGCGGCUUCAGGUCCCGCGCGUACCUGUAAAUUCUAAUAGUGUUGUUACGCAACGCUCGUGUGUGGCAGGUACGCGAUAAAUAUUCAAUUUAUGUCAGUCGCUAACAACUCUGUCGAGCCGCGACUGGUCCUAAAUUGAUCGAUCCGUUUUUCUGCGAUCGAAUACUGAACGCGAUGAUUGACGCGUUCAGUAUUUAUUCAGGCACGUGUAUAUCAGACAGGUAUAUAUCAAGCUUGCCUACAAGUCGGUAAAUCUUUGCCUAUUGGCCGGGCCAGUAAAAACGAUCCUAAUACGUUUAGCACGUCCCGUCGGAUAAGUUAUGCACGAAGUGUAGAGCGUUGAAUCGAGUUUCCAAGCGGUCCGGCGAACAGAUGGCGAAACACCGUUCAUCGAUCGUGUCCCCUGUCGUCUUGCUGCCAGUUCCCAGCGAAGGGUAGUCACGAUACGGCGAAAAGUAUUUCAAAUAUGGGAUUCAUGCAUUCACCUGGAUCGGUCCCUCGUUUCGCCCACGCUGUCAACAAACUAUUUUGAUUUAGCAAUUUAUUCUCUUUAUGCGCUCGCCAGGAUUUUAUAUCCGAAUUUUUGCCAUGUGUUCUGAAUAAGAUAACGAUUCUGUAACACAUGUAAUGAUGAAUUAUGCAAUGCGUGAUAUGAUACAAUAUGAGACAUGUGGUAACAUAUUAAAAUGCGUAGUGAAUUUUAAUAUUUUAAUAGGAUAUCAUAUGUUAACUAAAUAAAAAAAAAUACCGAAAAAAAUGUUAGUAUAAUACUCUAUUUUUUUUAAUUCAAGAGAAUAAUUCCAGAUUAUUGAAAUUUAAGCGGCUUAGAAGAAAAACAAAGGCAGAUUGUUGUAAAAAUCUUUUAAGAACGGGGCCUCGUUCAAUUUUAUCUAUUUGUUCAUCUUUCAGAACCUUGCGGCAUUAUCAGCUUAUACAAUGUGUAAAAUAUGUGAUUAAAAUGCGUGUUGAAUUUUAAUAUUGUGUGAUAUGGGAACUAAAUACAGAAGGGCACAAAUACCGAAGGGUGAAAACCGUUAAUAUAGUUAUAACGUUCUAUUUUUUUAAUUCAAGGCGAAUAAUUCCAGGGCGACUAUCAGCUCUACCUUAAAGCUGUCUUUUAAUAACAAAAAUAAUGCAAUUACGGAAAGAAACUUCUUAUAGCGUACAUCUUAAAUUUUGUGGCACGUAAGCGUGGUAAAUUAGAUUUUCUCAAGUAAGAAGUUGGCGCAAGUGUGUACUUGAAUGAAGUAUGCGAGCCCGAAGCGGAGGGUCGGUCUCCCUGAAAAUCAAAUGAAGCAAUUCCGGUGAAAUCGUUUCAGAGAACUACUAUAAGCUCGGUUUCAGUGUGCAAACCGUAAUUUCUGUUGGAUCGCCAAAAUUAUGUUCCUGAAAAUGCCGAUAUGGAUCGGCAAAAGAACGUAUGGGGCAUUCUUCGCCUAAAAUUGUAUAGCGACUAUACAUUAUAACAUAAAUUCAUAGAAUACAAUCGCACGGCUAUUUUCGCUCCCACCUUUCCACACUGUUGGUGUAGGUAGUUUGGUUUAUUUAUUUAUUUCAUUUCAUUGAUUUAUUUCCUACCUUUUACAGAUCCAUCAAUAUUUUCAGCGGGAAUUUAUCGCGCUUAAUUUUCGCGAUUGCCCCAGGCGAAUACAGGCGUACAUAUGUACGUACACGCCGUAACAAGUCACUUAGGAAAAUUAUAUCGAUCCGCUGCGUUUCGUGGCGGGCGAGGAGGAGGAGGGAGGGGGAGAGAGAAAGAAAAAAGCGACUUGCAAAACGAAACGAGAAAAAUCCGUGACCGAGGUGGUCGAUCGAGAGGAAUGCAGCCCGGCAAGGACAUUGGGUGGUGAUAUAAUAAAAAGAGAGAUCGUAAGUUUCUUGCGGUAUUUCUUUCGUCGCCAUUCUUCGGCCCGAAGGACGGCUGGCGUGGGCGUCGAAAAUGCACUUCGCUCCAUUCGUUUUUCCCGGUGUGUAUUGGCCGACGCUCACUGUUUUGCCAUCCUAUCGCGUUUAUUUUCGUUACAGAUCCCGCAACGGAUUGUCAAUCGGCUGUUUGUUUUAUUUUAUUGACUUAAAUAAUUUCACUGCGCGAAUGCGAUCUAUAAAGGCGAACGAUAAAGGACGAAAUAAACAUCUUCAUGGUUCGCCUUUCGUGUUCAUUUCAUAUUUAUCGAUGAGAAUGAACGACUUAUCACAUAACGGGAGGUAGCUAUCUUUGAAAUAAAGUUACAUAAACUGAUGAAUAUUCAUAUAGUCUUUUGCAAAAUUUCACAAAAUCCGUUUCCCCACAGAGAUGCACUUCACUACCGCGACAUUCCCACUCUUUUCGCAGCAAUAAGAAACAGUUUCGUGUAACGAGUCGCGCACCAUUUUGUCGCGGCUGCUUUUUUCUCUUCCGUCCGUAAUGGAGCGUCGGAAAUAUACUUACUUGACAGCUACAAGUUGCUGCUGGGGAAUUUGCGCGCCAUCCAGACAACUGGACACGAGCGACUUGUUGUGCUUCUCGGAAAAGUUCCCUUGGGCGUGCGACAAAAAAAAUUAAACGUGGGCAGCGUGACGUGCCGGUGUUUUAAUUCAAAGAUUCCUUUUUCGCGAUAUAUAAAAAAUAAGAUUCCAGUUGCCGACUAAUGAAGAAUAUCUCAUUAGUAUCUCAUGACAAAUAUUUCGAUUCGGUUAAUUAAACUAAAAUUCCGCAAUUAUUUCCCCGCUUCGCGGCGCAAAUCGAUGCUGCGGUCUAACAAAACUCGCCACGUUUUCCAAGCGAAUUGCCGCUUAAGCCACGGUGAAAUUAAAUUUCUUGGUUUGUUUUUGUGGCGGGAAUAGUAGUGCGAAUCGUGUGUGUCGCAGGCAGAACGCAUGGCUUUACGUCGACUUUACACUACGGGAUUUAAAGAAUAGUGAGGCUUUUAUUUAAAAAAAAAAGAAACUAAAAGCGCUGUAUAGUACGCUGUUCCAGUAUUGUCCGCGGCAAAACAGCUUAUUAUAUCAAAUUAUUGAGGAGAAGAAACGUGUGACAAUAAAUUGACGUACUUACUGUCAAUUUGGAAAAAUGUAUUUGACUUUUUUCUAGCAAAAGUAAUAAAAAAAUCAUAGGAAUACAUGUUAGAUCAGAUAUUUAGAUGUCCAUAGAAAUAAAAUGUGACCAUGACAGAAAUACGAGCGCCUAUAUAGACUGAAAAAAAUUUUUUUUAAUGAUGAAAAUAUGAAACAGCGAGAGAGCUUUAUCAAAAGAGACUGUACAUUCGAAUCAAAUAUCUUAUCCAUCUCUCUUUCUAAAGCUUCAAUUUCAUAUGUAUAGUAAUGUAAUUACGUGCUAUACAAAUCAUCGUACAAAAGUCGUAGAAAUUUUUCCAUUUUUAAUUUGAAGCGCACGUCUCGGCGUGUCUCGAAAUUUUUUCCAUCCAUUUUCUUCUCUUUGCCGUAAAAUAAAAAGCGAUAUAACUUUAAAUGUAGAAGGAGAUAGCAGCGUUUAAUAUGCUAAUUUGAUUGUCCGUAGUUAUCAAAAUUCCUCUAAUCUGGAGUAGAUGUACGUGUAAAGAGAAGGAGAGUUUCAGAACUUUGAAGAAUUCUGCAACUGCUUCAGGCUAAAUUGGAAACUAGUUUCCGUCGGAUCAUCAAUGAUUUCACCGUCGUUGGCACUGUCCCUCGCGCCAUCAAUUUUUGAUGGCGCGCUUCCAACAGUGUACGCUCGCACUCAUCGGCGUGGAACAUCAUGCCGCUUUUCACUCGAACGUUUCGACAAACGCAGAUAAUUGAGAAUAAUUGCUGAGAAUCUGCAGGCGACACUAUAUCGACGUUACGUAAUCGCAAUUUGCCGCGCGAUAUUUUAUUGCAAGUAUUAUGUAACGGAACGUAACGAAGAAAGAAUAUUGCACAAACAAAAUUUCGAUAUUCACUUUUUUUCCCCACAUGCGGAUUUCCACAUUAAAUUCCUGUUAUUAUUUUACUCGAUAAACAAACACGUAUUUAUUUAGAGAGUUUUACAACGUGUAAAUCCCUAUUUUUUUGUUUUAUUUUAUCCUUCCCGGAUAACUUGAUAACCAUAUAUAUACCAACAUAUACCAAUAUACAUUGGUGUGUGUUAUUUUAUGAAUUGCGUUGCUUCUUGAAAUUCACGUACUAUCCGUUCUACGUCGAAUUGCACGUACGCUUAUAUCGAAUUCCCCAACAUAUAUUAUCGUGCGCCAUCUCUCAUCCUCACGUAACGGCGAAAUUAUAUGCGAGACAAGUAUCCCAGCAGUCCGGGCUGACAUACGCGGCAAAUUGGUGCUCAAAAGCGACUAACUGGAGCUCAUAUCAUCUUCCGAAUACCACCGAACCAAAAUGGUCGAAUACUGACAGGACGCUGAUUUGGCGGGACAGAUAUUUGGCCCUGAUCUAAAGGCUCGUUUAUUAACGUCCAUCGCGAAUUAAUGUCUCGUGACACUACGACCCGCAUCGCGAUCCUUGAUAUUGAUAUGCAUUGUAAUUGCUCGAUGAUCGAUUUAAAAAACCGAAUCGAUUUAACAUAAUCACUUUUAGGUCUAAUCUCAUUCGAAGGAAUAAAAGCGAAAAUCGAUGGAUUCGCAUAUUUUCUGUUUUUCGCGCGCCUCUUCAUUCAACUGAACCCUUGGCAGAAACGAUUCGACUUUCUUACGAGCGUGUUGUUUUCGACCCGGAAAAACGUUUGCGCAAGCAAAAGUUAGCGGUUCGUUCGAUAUAGCUUGCACAUAUGUGUAUUUAUAUCCGCGUAAACUUCGAUCAAAAGUGACUCACGCGGAGGUCGUCUUCCGGAAAUACUUUCCAGCCGUUUCUUUCCAUUGACAUAGGAUGAAGUACGCAUGUUCGAUUUUUCGCCGGUUGUUGGUUAAUGCAAGAACUUCAGCUUACGUUUGCGGUACGACAUUAGCUGACGCAACGUGGCGAAUGUCGCGCGAUAUAGCUCGCUACACAUAUAGUCCCAACGCGGAGACUAAGCAAGCACAAGUGGUUCGAUACACGAACAGCAAAUAUUGCCGUCAUAACAGCCACGUCUGUGUGAAAUAUAUCGCGAAAAACGCUCGAAUGGCGUUUCCAUUACCGACCAGUUGGUGGACUUUGAUUAAGUAUUCAGUACAAUUUGUUGAAUUAAGACGAGCUUGUGCAUUAUUGCAAUGCUAAUAGAGUUCUGUUUUAUUUAUUUUUUUUUCAUAAUUCAAUUACUGAACUCGCUUGAGCGCGCGCGUGAUAUUGCGCGAAGCAAUAAUUAAUUUUUAUAUGAUGCUUUUAUAAAUGAUAUUAAAUUCCCAUCAUACAAACGCGCGCGUCGAGAGCGCUCGGCUUUAAAUUAUAAUUAAUUUUCCCUAUCGCGAGUUUUCCGAUGUGCGUUUAAUUAUUCCUAUCGAAUCCGAGCCGGUACACUUUAAAAUUUACCGCAAAUAGCGUCGGGGUAGUGUGUAUCGUCCGCGUGCGAGCAUGCGAAAUCGAUUUCCGCGCAGUGAUGUAUCGCCAUGGCGAUGAAAGCUGAACGAGUGUUUGAUAAGGCAAAUAAAGUUAAAGUUAUGACGAAAUCGAUAAAGUUCGCCAAGGGAACCUCCUACGUAUUCACCUGUAUGUGUGCAACGCGCGUCAACGGUUGACUGACUUUAAUUAAUUCUACGAAAUUUCAAGAAGGACAAACUUCUCUUCGCUAAUAGAUCGUUUUCAACUUACGUUCCGCCGGCAGCUGUAAUCGGAGUUGUAAGAUCACUCGCGGCUCUAGGCAGGAAUGGCCAACGAUUAUUCUGUCUCGUCGAACGUGAGAUAACAACGUUUCACGUCGCGUAGCGGUGACAUCCGACAAACGGCGAGAAUUUAAUGGAGAUAGAAUGUGUGUGUAUGUGUGUGUGUGUGUGUCUUGAGAUAGAGAUAGAUCUCGUCGAGCGAAAUAAACUUGAAUCAGCAACCGAACUCUUUUCAUCGUCGGUUGUUAUUAGCCGAAAGUUCCUGGACGGACUCCAACUCGGAAUCGGUUUUAUUUGAUCGCCAACUUCUUGCUACACUUCCGAGAUCACUCGUGAGCCACUCUUACGAAGAUGUAAUAAUUGCCUUUGCCUGUUUUUUCCUCUUUCAGUCGGGUCAAUAUAUAUUGCUUCACUUAUAAAACGGAGGUUGCAAACACGGUUACAAAAAUAUAAACCUAAAUUUUAUAAUACAAUUUCAUUAGACUCGCAAUUACAUUUUUGUCAAGAUAAAUAUUAUUUUAUGACACAGCUCUUGUGUUGUUUAAUAAAAGAUUACAAAAGAUAUGCUUUUUGUAUCCCUCCGUUUACUGUACCUUGGCAAGACUUUUGUAAUUUUGCACUUAAUUCAUAUCUAGCUGCAUCAUAAAACGAGUUUCAACGGAUUUAUUAUUUAACACGGAAGUUACAAAGCUUCAAGCUAAUUAAACUUUUAUUGCAACAGAUUAAAAUUUUUCACGACAAUUAGCACAAGCUAUUAAGACAUUUUAAUAAUUAAAAAAAAUAACUUCAAAUUUUAUCCCAGUUGCAGUUUCAUUAUUAAUGUACACAAUUGUUUUAUUCCAUACACACACACAGAAAAAUAUUAUUCUCGUCUUAAGAAAAGCAAUUAUUUUUGUUUUAAGUAACGAUUAUCUUUUUUAUAUGCAUAAAAAAGAUUGAUCAAACAAAUUGAUUGCACAUUUACAAUUAUUUCAUAAAUAUGUUAUAAAGCCACAUAAAUUACCUUUUUAAAAACAUAUAUAGCUUGAGAGUAGCGAGCUUUGUACAGCACCUUGCACUAAGUCAAUCAACGUGCAUCCGAACACGUUAUUGCGCAUCGGCGCGGCGCUCGUGUCUGAGGAUACGUUAUAAGCAAUUAACUUGCGCAAUACUAACCCCCGAAAUACAACCGAUACGGAAAUCGGGCUUCAAAACUCUAUAAUCGGAUUCAAAGUUUCGCCCGCGGCGCUCCUGGUGUACGGGCUCGUCUUGUAACCACUACUCUCUGCAUUCGUGGUAAACUAAACCGAGUCUGAAACUAAGCGACUUAGAACUUACUUGGGGAAACUUCUAUUUCAUUACGUAAUCACGAUAUAGACGCCAGCGAUGUACGUUCUCGCAGUCAUUCUUGAACAUAGUUCACAUAGGAGUACAUGCGAUUCUCAGUAGGAUUGUGACGCAGAAUUUUCGCGGAAAAUUUGAUCUGAAGUCCGAGAAAGUCCGUUUCCAAGAAAGACAAUUAGAUCAGCGUAACAAGUUCGUUUCUAACUCCACACAGUAACCUUUGUAGAAGCCUUGAGAAGAAGCUACUGCAGCUGCUGAAAGAUGCCAUCUUUAAUGAAAGAGAAAUAUAUUUAUAAAUAUCACAAAGAGAAAAUUUAUCGAUGCAAUCGUCGUACUGAUUGCAUUUGAAAGUGUAUAUAAAUUACACAAGUUACAGCUUCGAACCUGCCAGCACAUUGCAAGAAAAGUGUCGCGUCUUAAAAAAAUAUUUUUAUAGAGUUUAUUAUUUCACAUCAUUUUGACGGUGAUAAAUAAAAGUACGCCUCAGUGUCAUAACUCGCGUUACACGCCAAGUUUAAACCCGUCAUAGCAUUCGCGAAAUGGUUUCCCGAGGAAAUUAUGUUAUCAGAAGAUAUAAGGAAGUCGGUAAUUAUAUUUAUACAGAGCACGCGCGGAACUUUUUUUUCCCUUUUCCUCGAGCGUCCCUUACCGAUAGAAUCUCUUAAUGGGGCGUGUCUCUAAACAAUCACUCGUAAAACAAGAACUUAUGUUUCUUUGCACAAUCUUUUUGCACGUGCUGGAUAAAACGAGCGAGAGUUUCCGGGACCGAAAUUUUAUCAAGGCUCCAACGCCGCCGGGAGAAACGGGCUUCCGCUACGGAAGUGGCUUAUCCGUAAAGGAAACAGGGUCCUUUUACGAAUAAGAGCGCAUGCUGUGAUUUCCACGGUCCCUCCCUAUCUUGAAAAGAACGCCGUGCAACGACAUUGCAUGCAUAUGUGAUCCCAUCAUAUAUAUGUGUAUGUAUAUAUAUAUAUGUAUAUAUAUAUAUUUAUGCACGUGUGUAUAUUCGUGCGGAGGACGCGAGCGAGAGGCGGCACACGUAAUGGCGAUACGAUGUUUUAAGGGAUAUAGGUCAGGGAUUCGCGGGAUCCUGUACGUGAAUGCUUCGGCGAUGUGUUGUUCUAUAUCGGCGGUUAACCUGAAUUUCGUAACGGCCAACAUCCGUCGAGAACGAAGCGCGAUUCGGCGAUUCGGUUGCGAGGUGCCCGGAAGAACGGAGCGGCGCAAUUUUUCCACCGCGAAUAAUUGGAAAUAUGAUUAUAGUUCGGCGGCGGCCGGCGCGAGAACUUCCUGCGCGAUGCGCUCAAGUUAAUUAACGUGCAAAUCUUAAAGUUUACACUCGACAUUAAAAUGUCAACGUAGCGCUCCACGUGGGUGCCACCUCGGGGUUUUUUUUUUCCUCUUCGCUGCGAACGUGUUCGCAAAAAUAUGAGACUGCGGAAAGUAGCGCGCAUUUUUCGCGUGCUCGGCAUAAACCACACUUGAGAUUUUAAAACGAUAAUUACACGCAAACGCAAAUUUACAAUGCAUUUUACAACGCGCAUAAAUGUUAACGUUCACUUUAUUGCUAGUUAAUAGAUGCUAUUGAAAUAUAAUUAAAUUAAUAAUAAAAUGUUAUUAGAAGUCCUCCAUUCUCUUAUCUUAUUUACAUUCCUUCUUUGUUAACUACUACUUGUUAUUAUAUUACAUUAUUUGAUGUUCUUUCCGAAGAUCGCUCGGUGAUAAGCGUUUAAGUUUUUUGCGCGAGCAAAGUUUGAUAUUUGCAUAAUUUCAUGUUGCUUUAUAAAAUUUAUUCUAGGACGCCGUUGGGACGCUUUAUGCAAAAUCCUUCACCGGAGCGCAACGUCGCUCGCAAUUUUUUAAUCGCGUGUUAAACGUAUAACCUCGACGGCUGAUGCCCGUGACAGUCGAUUAAUUGACGAUGAAUCUUUCAGUGAGCUAAUUCUUCGACCUCGCGUUCGCGAAAACAAUUAACGCUCGAUAGCUUUCCUCGAAGUCACCCCACUUUCUACGGAAUCGUCAUAUCCGACGAAAUACAGUAGCGUUCUAAUAAUCGAUAUUAAUUUCAGUAAGCGAUCGAUAAAAGUACGUAAUAAAAAAUAAUAAUAAAUUCCGAAAGAAAUGAGCUCACAAAGACCGACAUACGGUUGGAAUAAAAUAGAUAAUCUCGUAUGACAGAGUGCUUUUAAAAGUAAAGAAGAAGCAGAAUAACAUGUGACCGUACGUAUACCGCGAGUAACACAUAAAUCCAAAUUGAAUUUGCUGCUGGGAGGUAUUUCGAAAGGCCCGUUAUCAAUUUUUGUAAAAUCUCCGUGGACAAUCUGUCAAAGAAAUAUCUGGCGGGAUGUUGGAACUGUUCCAGUUUUUCUCCGAAGGGUAUUAAUUUAAGAGGAGGAGAAAGAGAAGGAAAAAAGGAACUUUCAUUUCGAACCUUUUUUUCAGGGUGUAAGCACCAUUAACCGUCGUAUGCUUCCUGUUAUGUCCAGCCAUUUUUCCAAUAUAUACGACAUGGCUGGCAUUGACCGCGCGCAAUCUUUUACAGCACAUUACAUUUAAGCUCGAGAACCUUUCUUAAACGGAUUUCGAGUCGAUCCUAUUUAUGCUGCGGCAGCGACGAAUCUAUACGGAGACUAAUGAAGCUUAAGCUUCCGUCCCCGUUGGUCACAAGAAGCUCCGUGAAUAAUUCAGUUCUUUUCCAACUUGUUGUCUAAUAAUAGAGAACAGCAACAACAACAAGCGCACAAUUCGUAUAAAAUUAACUACUAAAAUUUAAUAUUUCAUACAUACGCGAAUAUUACAGUUAAUUAAGGAAGCAUUAUCGUUCGAGAUCUAGGAGAAAGGUUGUUUUUAUUUAACUAUUUUAGAAGAUAUGCAAACAAUAUAUUUUAAUUUUAUGAAAAUCAUAAUUAUAUUCAUCAAAUGGUAAUACUUCUUCUCUUAUUAAUCUCAGGAAGAAAAGAGAAAAUAAAAAAAUAUAAUCAAAAUGUUACUUUGUAUUGCUAUAAACUAAAUUGUGUGUUUAUAAAAUUUUAUCAAUUUCUUAAAAUUAUGUAACAUUUUUCUCGUUUAAUUGUGUAAUAAAUUCAAUAACAAUGCUUUUUUUUUCUUUAAUUCAGUUAUCCGCUUGGAUGUAAAUUUAAAACUUACAAAAAUGAUUACUUUUAAGCCAAAAGACUCACCAUGUAUUUUAGACUGUGCGUAAACAUCAAAAUUCUAUUCAAGUUUACUCGAGAUUACUUCCUUUGAAAAUUUGAAGCCACGCCUUCGAACGGUUGGCGAAUAGAUACGACGACUUUGUACGUGAUUUCGACGAAUGCGCGCAAAGAAUUCGGUCCUUCAUACAUUUGUUAUCGCUCUUCUGCACCCAGUGUGUCAAAAGCCACGUCGACAUUCACCGAAACGUGUGUCGCGUUACUACAUUGUCAACUCAACCAUAAUAUCACAUGGUAUGUGAUAUCAUGGUUGAGUUGACAAUUAAAACGUAGAAAUGCACACCCAUUGUCCUUCUAUUUUCGAAUGAAAUUCAUCACGCUUCUGCCCUUCGAAUUGCAUCCUUAUUAUUUCAGUGAAGAACGUAUCAAUGACUUAUCGUCUCAGCUUUGAUUUAAUACUGCAAAUAUAUUUUCUAAAUAGUGCAAUAAAAAAAAUAACUGCUGGUAGUGGUUGAAAAUCAUAUAUCCUUUUACGAGUUUAAGAUUUAGGAGCAUUGAAUUUCUGGCGUUGACUUUCCUACGUAAUUUCACCUUCUCGACCGGAAGAAAGAUCGCCCGGGAGCGGCUUUUAUGAUAUUGCAUUAGCGUAAUUUUGCAUGUAGUAAGAGAGAUCGCAUUAUGGCGAUGGCGGUAAAGCUCUGCGUAGGCAGCGGUACGUACUUAUGCUCCGUUGAAUAUUUACGAUUGGCCUGUGUAAAAAAAUAGGGGAGCACAUCUUAAAGUUCGCCAUCAACAACGUCCCACGCACGCGGAAUAAAACAGCCGGCUAUAUUGCAACGCGAUCCCAAGUCCCCGUCUCAUAAUUCGUUGAGUAAGGAGUUGACGCCAGCGGACGGUGUCACGUGCGAAGAUGGAUCGAAACGAGACAUGAGUAAGGCACACGACGCCGUUAAGACUAUUUUUAGCUCUGAUUAUGCGUAAUAAAUCUCAAACCCUCCUGCCAAUUUAUGUAAUCAAACUUAAUCCAUAUAUAUACACGACCGCGUAU